AAAAUAGUUGGUAUGGAUGAUAAGAGAGGUGGUAUGGAUGAUAAGAGAGGUGGUAUGGAUGAUAAGAGAGGUGGUAUGGAUGAUAGGAGAGGUGAUAUGAAUGAU